UCUACAACCCAUACCACCUUGAACACUCCUGAUCUCGUCUCAUCUUAGAAGCCAAGCAGAGUCGGGCCUCCCUUAAUACCUGGAUGGAGAAAAUUACCCUGGUGAAAGAGGACAAGAC
rnacentral:rRNA from 1 species